UGGAGCCCAGCACUGCUCCAUGUCAGUGCAGAGCCAGCCCCAGCUGCUCCAGAAGGGACCCCCAGCCUGAGCUGAGCCUGGUGGUAAUUGCUGACAUCAAACCAAAAUUCAAAACAUUAUUCUGACUGAAUCAAUGCAUCAUGUCCUGUGGCUGCCUGCAAUGUGAUUGUGUACCCCCGUGCGACCCAUGACAAGUCUGGCUUGUUUUGCAGUGUGGUAACGCACACGUCUGGUAUUGAGACUGAUGAAAUCACAGCCUUGCUUCUUCCCCAGGCUGUGCUCUCUUUUAAAAAGAUUUCAUUGUGUCACAAUACUAGAAGUAAAUAUACUUGUGUCUUAAUCACCAUCUAGCAGCUGCUUUCUCCAUCCUCUGCUGCGGAUGAUCAGACAUUUGCUGAUACUCUUCCAUUUGUAUAGUGCUUAAUUGUCACUUCAUGUUGUGAUGUUUGUCUUGGGAUUUCCUAAUGGGAAGAGGUCCCUCCCAAAGGCGAUGUUUCUUGUUAAGCUGAACAUUAGAGAAACAAGGAAAUGUCCUCCUUGUGUUGUUCUCAGGUAAAGUUUGUUUUUUUUUCUAGCUGCUUUGGGACUGCACGCUGCAAAAAGCAGGCCAAACCUUCAAACUGUUUCCUUCUGUGACUCAUAAUGAAGGAGGUAUGCUGCAAACCCCAUGCAGCAGGGUGUGACUCUAUGGCAAACGUGUUCGUACAGGACCUCACUGAGCGCUUUUAAAACACUCUGCUUAUUUCUGUCGAAGUAACGAAUGUGUUCUGUAAGUAAAAAUGCUCCUGAGCUACCAGUUUUCAUGUUAAAUAUUUUGGUUUUAAAAGGUCCACUACCUAAAUAAAAUUCCAGACACGUUUACUGAAAACAAUGUUCUCUCUUUUUCUUUUCUUUUUUUUCUUUUUUUUUUUUUCCUGAGAAAUACAG
ensembl:lncRNA